AUGCAAACGGGCCCGUGUUCCUACAGCAUCAAACUGUCUUGUGUCCGAAGUGUGUGCCUCGUACGUAGGUAGCAAAUUUGGCCGUCGCACUUGUCGUGGGUGGGGCCCCAUUUACUGUACAUAUCCAUUAGGUAGCAAAUUUGGCCGUCGCACUUGUCGUGGGUGGGGGCCCAUUUACUGUAUAUAUCAAUUAGAUUUUGACCUCUAUGGGUCCGACACCUUUUCU